UACGUAGGGGGCUAGCGUUGUCCGGAUUCAUUGGGCGUAAAGCGCGUGUAGGCGGCUUUACAGGUCCGCUGUGAAAACUCGAGGCUCAACCUCGAGACGUCGGCGGAAACCGUAUGGCUAGAGUCCGGAAGAGGAGAGUGGAAUUCCUGGUGUAGCGGUGAAAUGCGCAGAUAUCAGGAAGAACACCCGUGGCGAAGGCGGCUCUCUGGGACGGUACUGACGCUGAGACGCGAAAGCGUGGGGAGCGAACAGG
rnacentral:rRNA from 1 species